rnacentral:rRNA from 1 species
AGGUGAAAAGCACCCCGGAAGGGGAGUGAAAGAGAUCCUGAAACCGUGUGCCUACAAAUAGUCAGAGCCCGUUAAUGGGUGAUGGCGUGCCUUUUGUAGAAUGAACCGGCGAGUUACGAUCCCGUGCAAGGUUAAGCUGAAGAGGCGGAGCCGCAGCGAAAGCGAGUCUGAAUAGGGCGUUUAGUACGUGGUCGUAGACCCGAAACCAGGUGAUCUACCCAUGUCCAGGGUGAAGUUCAGGUAACACUGAAUGGA